UGAUACGUAGGGUGCGAGCGUUGUCCGGAUUUAUUGGGCGUAAAGAGCUUGUAGGUGGUUUGUUGCGUCGGGAGUGAAAACCUAGGGCUUAACCCUGGGCCUGCUUCUGAUACGGGCAGACUUGAGGAAGGUAGGGGAGAUCGGAAUUCCUGGUGGAGCGGUGGAAUGCGCAGAUAUCAGGAGGAACACCGGUGGCGAAGGCGGAUCUCUGGACCUUUCCUGACGCUGAGAAGCGAAAGCGUGGGGAGCAAACAGGCUUAGAUACCCUGGUAGUCCACGCCGUAAACGGUGGGUACUAGGUGUGGGGGACAUUCCACGUUCUCCGUGCCGUAGCUAACGCAUUAAGUACCCCGCCUGGGGAGUACGGCCGCAAGGCUAAAACUCAAAUGAAUUGACGG
rnacentral:rRNA from 1 species